GCUCUGUUUACUGAAACUGUUCCUCUUUUUACAGGCAGCAAAUACAGCACUAUACCAACCAGCUUGCUAAAGAAACCAACAGGCAUCUUAAAGAGUUGGGCUCAGUCCCUUUGGCAUCAUCACCCUCAGAACAAAGGCAACAAAGGAUCCAAAGGGACCGGCUUAUGAAUGACUUUUCCGCAGCGCUCAACAACUUCCAAGCUGUCCAGCGACGUGCAGCAGAAAAAGAGAGGGAAUCAAUAGCAAGAGCAAGGGCUGGUUCCUGUCUAUCAAAUGAAGACCGUUUUCGGGAUGAAAAGCUUGUCUCCUUUGAUAACCAAGAGGACCUUGGUCCAAUAACCACCCAGACAGAAGAAAUGGCCAUUACAGAGGAAGAUCUGGAGCUCAUCAAGGAGAGAGAAACCAAUAUCAGACAGCUUGAGGUGAGCAUUUGCUUACUGUUGCUUGAUAUACAAU